rnacentral:rRNA from 1 species
UCUAGUGACCGAUAGUGAACCAGUACCGUGAGGGAAAGGUGAAAAGCACCCCGGAAGGGGAGUGAAAUAGAACCUGAAACCGUGUGCUUACAAGUAGUCAGAGCCCGUUAAUGGGUGAUGGCGUGCCUUUUGUAGAAUGAACCGGCGAGUUACGAUUUGAUGCAAGGUUAAGCAGUAAAUGUGGAGCCGUAGCGAAAGCGAGUCUGAAUAGGGCGUUUAGUAUUUGGUCGUAGACCCGAAACCAGGUGAUCUACCCUUGGUCAGGUUGAAGUUCAGGUAACACUGAAUGGAGGACCGAACCGACUUACGUUGAAAAGUGAGCGGAUGAACUGAGGGUAGCGGAGAAAUUCCAAUCGAACCUGGAGAUAGCUGGUUCUCUCCGAAAUAGCUUUAGGGCUAGCCUCAAGUGAUGAUUAUUGGAGGUAGAGCACUGUUUGGACGAGGGGCCCCUCUCGGGUUACCGAAUUCAGACAAACUCCGAAUGCCAAUUAAUUUAACUUGGGAGUCAGAACAUGGGUGAUAAGGUCCGUGUUCGAAAGGGAAACAGCCCAGACCACCAGCUAAGGUCCCAAAAUAUAUGUUAAGUGGAAAAGGAUGUGGCGUUGCCCAGACAACUAGGAUGUUGGCUUAGAAGCAGCCAUCAUUUAAAGAGUGCGUAAUAGCUCACUAGUCGAGUGACACUGCGCCGAAAAUGUACCGGGGCUAAACAUAUUACCGAAGCUGUGGAUUGUCCUUUGGACAAUGGUAGGAGAGCGUUCUAAGGGCGUUGAAGCAUGAUCGUAAGGACAUGUGGAGCGCUUAGAAGUGAGAAUGCCGGUGUGAGUAGCGAAAGACGGGUGAGAAUCCCGUCCACCGAUUGACUAAGGUUUCCAGAGGAAGGCUCGUCCGCUCUGGGUUAGUCGGGUCCUAAGCUGAGGCCGACAGGCGUAGGCGAUGGAUAACAGGUUGAUAUUCCUGUACCACCUAUAAUCGUUUUAAUCGAUGGGGGGACGCAGUAGGAUAGGCGAAGCGUGCGAUUGGAUUGCACGUCUAAGCAGUAAGGCUGAGUAUUAGGCAAAUCCGGUACUCGUUAAGGCUGAGCUGUGAUGGGGAGAAGACAUUGAGUCUUCGAGUCGUUGAUUUCACACUGCCGAGAAAAGCCUCUAGAUAGAAAAUAGGUGCCCGUACCGCAAACCGACACAGGUAGUCAAGAUGAGAAUUCUAAGGUGAGCGAGCGAACUCUCGUUAAGGAACUCGGCAAAAUGACCCCGUAACUUCGGGAGAAGGGGUGCUCUUUAGGGUUAACGCCCAGAAGAGCCGCAGUGAAUAGGCCCAAGCGACUGUUUAUCAAAAACACAGGUCUCUGCUAAACCGUAAGGUGAUGUAUAGGGGCUGACGCCUGCCCGGUGCUGGAAGGUUAAGAGGAGUGGUUAGCUUCUGCGAAGCUACGAAUCGAAGCCCCAGUAAACGGCGGCCGUAACUAUAACGGUCCUAAGGUAGCGAAAUUCCUUGUCGGGUAAGUUCCGACCCGCACGAAAGGCGUAACGAUUUGGGCACUGUCUCAACGAGAGACUCGGUGAAAUCAUAGUACCUGUGAAGAUGCAGGUUACCCGCGACAGGACGGAAAGACCCCGUGGAGCUUUACUGUAGCCUGAUAUUGAAAUUCGGCACAGCUUGUACAGGAUAGGUAGGAGCCUUUGAAACGUGAGCGCUAGCUUACGUGGAGGCGCUGGUGGGAUACUACCCUAGCUGUGUUGGCUUUCUAACCCGCACCACUUAUCGUGGUGGGAGACAGUGUCAGGCGGGCAGUUUGACUGGGGCGGUCGCCUCCUAAAAGGUAACGGAGGCGCUCAAAGGUUCCCUCAGAAUGGUUGGAAAUCAUUCAUAGAGUGUAAAGGCAUAAGGGAGCUUGACUGCGAGACCUACAAGUCGAGCAGGGUCGAAAGACGGACUUAGUGAUCCGGUGGUUCCGCAUGGAAGGGCCAUCGCUCAACGGAUAAAAGCUACCCCGGGGAUAACAGGCUUAUCUCCCCCAAGAGUUCACAUCGACGGGGAGGUUUGGCACCUCGAUGUCGGCUCAUCGCAUCCUGGGGCUGUAGUCGGUCCCAAGGGUUGGGCUGUUCGCCCAUUAAAGCGGUACGCGAGCUGGGUUCAGAACGUCGUGAGACAGUUCGGUCCCUAUCCGUCGUGGGCGUAGGAAAUUUGAGAGGAGCUGUCCUUAGUACGAGAGGACCGGGAUGGACAUACCUCUGGUGUACCAGUUGUCGUGCCAACGGCAUAGCUGGGUAGCUAUGUGUGGACGGGAUAAGUGCUGAAAGCAUCUAAGCAUGAAGCCCCCCUCAAGAUGAGAUUUCCCAACUUCGGUUAUAAGAUCCCUCAAAGAUGAUGAGGUUAAUAGGUUCGAGGUGGAAGCAUGGUGACAUGUGGAGCUGACGAAUACUAAUCGAUCGAAGACUUAAUCAAAA